UACGUAGGGGGCUAGCGUUGUCCGGAAUCAUUGGGCGUAAAGAGCGUGUAGGCGGUCCGGUAAGUCCGCUGUGAAAGUCGGGGGCUCAACCCUCGAAUGCCGGUGGAUACUGUCGGGCUAGAGUGCGGAAGAGGCGAGUGGAAUUCCUGGUGUAGCGGUGGAAUGCGCAGAUAUCAGGAGGAACACCUAUAGCGAAGGCAGCUCGCUGGGACGUUACUGACGCUGAGGCGCAAAAGCGUGGGGAGCGAACAGG
rnacentral:rRNA from 1 species